CUUUCGGCUCAUGACCGUGAUGUUCGUGAGUCCAGAGCACAAAAGACUCAGUCUGACGGCACCGGGCUACAGCAGUGCUGUACGUGGGGAUGUGCGCCUACGGCGAGGAGCUGAGGCUGCCGAGAGGAGUCCUUACAGAAAGGACACCAGAUCCCCGCUGUCCUGAAGACCUGCAGAGAGGGAAGGAGGUGGCCAGCAGUGUACAAUGACCAAACGGGAGGAGUUCUUAUGCUGCAGAAAAUCCCAGUGCCGUAUAAUCAGAGACCAGGAACAGAGGGUUCUGUCCCCACGCAUGCCUGUGAAUAGCCCUCCUGGGCUCUCAAAAACGUCACGUUGCAGAACCCUGCUUGAUCAAGAGAUGUCCCUCAAGGCAGGGCCUAUUGUUGGCAUGUCUGAGAAGUCAGCCCUUCAGGAAGGAUGUGAAAAUCUGGCCUCUUCAUUGACGGGCAAGGCAGUGUGACUGAAGGAGUAAGAGGUGCCCAGCUUCGUGACCGGGGGCCUGUCUGGCAGCAAGUGCCAAGAAGCAUCCUGAAACGCAGCACCUGGACGACUCGUGCCUACUGGUCAACAUCAUGAGAGCAAGAACUGCAAAGCUACAGGCAGCUUGUCAUGGCCACCCAUAAAACCAAAUUACUUAACAAAGAAAUAGAAAUGAACCAUCAACUCAAUGUCUGAUUUGUCACACCAAACCAAACAGGACAGCUUUUAUUGUGCUUGGACUGGCUGUUAACCACAGGUCGACAAGUGAACAAUUAAAAGAGACUGCUAGCAGUAUACAGAGCACAGCUCUGUGAACAGACAGCCCUGGAUUUGAGAGCUGUAUUGCUUUACUGUGCGUAAAGUCCUGGCAAUGGAUGGCACAGAUUGAGACUUCUCCCUCCUGUGGAUACUUCAGCACUCAACAAAGCAAUGACUCUUCAUUCUUACAUGUAUUCGUGUGAAUGGCAUAACACAGACAAAGAAUUUUGUCCCGUGAACCCAGAGAAAUGAUCAAUGGACACUACAAAAAAAAUACUGCAUGUUAUGUCCAAAACUACAGCUUUUAUUGUACCAUGAACUUUUGAAUCAAUUUUGAGCUAAGAGGCUAAUUUUACAACUGACCCUAUAAAAAAACUAGUGACAGCCUAAUCUCGAGAUUCUUGGACAAAAUACUCAUAUUUUGCAUAUAGCUGUAACUCCUUUUAUAUGGAUCAAAAGAUCUCCAAGAAGACUGAUAUAUAGAAAAAUGUCUCGUAGCAUUAACAAAGGGUUGAUUUUAAACUGCCCAGGACCAGUAUCCAUAUUCCUCCUUUUAUACCAAACCUGACUCCUUUUGUCACCGAAACCAAGAGGUGGUGAUGGCAUGUUAGAUACAAAGGGAUAUACUCACAUAAAUGCAGUUGCAGGAUUAGAAUCCUACUUCACCAGCAACUGAUAAUAUCACACACAAAAACUUCCAAAUUGCACUCAAGCUGAUUUCAAAUAAUUAAACUCGUACAACUACCUGGAAGCACUAUUAAACUCUUCUUGCAUUGUAAUUACUAUUAUAUAGAUACUUUACAAGUGGGAUAACGUAACAGCAGUUAGUAGGUAUUGUAUUUCAAUUGGCUGAAGAUACCCAUCAGCAAGAUAAGAAGCAGUGUCAAACAAUCUGCUGGAAUUUAACCCUUAAUAAAUCCAUGCCCUUGCUUUAUAAAGUUGUGCUUGUAAGUAUGGUAGUCACACCAUCAUAGCUGCAUAGUAAAUAAAACAAAAGGACAUAUGAAGUAAUUAGAUCUGAGACUUGUUUUGUUGAAUUGUUUCUACAUCUGAAAAGACCAUAAUUAUCAGCCCCCUAUAUUUGAACUCAGCUGGAUAAAAAAGUGACUGAGCUCAAAUGUACUGUGUGGUUGUGCACACCAGUGCAAGCACACACUCUAAAUGGGCUUGAAUCUGUUUUCCAGAUGUGGAUGACGAGAGCAUGCAUCUGUCUCUUACAAGUCAAGUGAGUUACUCAGCACCACACAAAGAUGCCAGUCCAGCCAGAAGUCUAGAAAUAAUGGCCAUCCCUGAGUGUUCUCAUCCUUCUUUAUCCUAGUCUUGUACAUCUGCCUGCUACUCUCUGGAGUGGAAUAUCUAGGCCUUAAACGCAUCCAAAAAACCCUUCAGCAAGCAUCCUGCAUGAAUACAAAUAUAGCUAUGGUCUAUCUGAGCCCAUAAGAAAUUAAGUUUGUGCCACAAAAAUCUAUAUUUCCUCUACCAAAGAGCAAUGUAAGACUGGAUCUUACUGCUAUUUCCCAUUGACUUCACUUGGCGCUGGACUGAGCCAUACAUGUGAGUCAUUACGUUGUGUAGUUGGUGUAGUGGAGGUAGAAGGUUUGGAGGUUUUUGGCUGUCAGGAUGAACUGAACUGCACUAAUACACACUAAUUGUGUAUUACGCCAGUAACUGGAGUUCCUGCCCUUCCCUGUGGCAUGAAGCUAGUUCUAAGCCUCUGUCACAAUCUCAUCUUCUCUCAAAUAAGUUCAAAAAGACUCACUUGGAUU